rnacentral:ncRNA from 1 species
AUAAAAAUUUAUGAUUUUCAGAAUUUAUUUAUAAUUUAUUUUACAUAUAAAUUUUAGUGUUAAUUUUUAAUUAUUUUAAUAAUAAUUAAUUUGAAAAUUAUAGUAAUUAAAAUUAAAAAUUUAAGUAAUUAAGAUUUAGAAAUAUUAAAAUUAAUAACAAAUUUUGUGCCAGCAGUUGCGGUUAUACAAAAAUAAAUUAAAUUAAAUUUUUUUCAGUGUUUAAAUAAAUGAAUAAAAAAUUAAAUUAAAUAUUAAAUUAUUGAGUGAAAUUUUAAUUUAAUUAAAAUUUAAAAUAAUUCAUAAUUUAGGAAAUUUUUAUAUAAACUAGGAUUAGAUACCCUAUUAUUAAAAAUUUAAGUUAAUAUACUAAAAUAGUAAAUAAAAGAUAUUGAAACUUAAAUAAUUUGGCGGUAUUUUAGUUCAUUUAGAGGAAUCUGUUUAAUAAUUGAUAUUCCACGAAUAAACUUACUUAAUUUAAUAUUUUAUAUAUCGUUGUUAAAAAAAUAUUUUUAAAAAAUAAUAAUAUUUAAAAAUUUUAAUAAAUAAAUUAGUUCAAAUCAAGAUGUAGAUUAUAAUUAAGAAUAUAAUGGAUUACAAUAAAAUUAUUUAAAUGAAUAUUAUUUUGUAAAUAUAAAUUGAAAGUGGAUUUAAAUGUAAUUUUGUUUAAUUUAAUAAAAUGAUUAUAAAUUGAAAUAUGUACAUAUUGCCCGUCACUUUCAUUUAAAAAUUGGAAUAAGUCGUAACAAAGUAGAGGUACUGGAAAGUGUUUCUAGAAAGA